CCGAAAUAGCAAAAGCGACGAGGAGUCGUGUUGGCUGCCUGCUGGGGAGUGAGGAGAUCUGCUUUCACUCCGCUGCCCCACAUAUUUCCUGCUGGCUGGACGCCUUGUGAUUCUGCGAGUAGACACGCCUGCCGUAGUUCGACAUCAUAAGCAGGAGCAGCAGAGGAUGCCAGGCAGCUCUCCUGAGAAACAAUUAGCUGUGAACUUCAGAGGAGAACAAUGAUUAGCAUAGGCUUCAAACUGGCGGAUCCACAGCUGAGGAAACACCAUGUUUUUUGGGGUGAUGUGCUCGUGUGACACCGUCGACCCCCCCCCUCCCGUGAACUCAAGUAGGGCUGAGAUGUCAGACGCGGCGGGUGAUCAGUGCGGUUACGUUGUCCAGCCGCUUCACGCCAGCAUAGAACUGUCAUUUGUGGGUGCGCGUCUACGUCCUCUCUGGAGAGCGGAGGAGGCGCCAAGGGAGUCGCAGUGACUCACGCUGUGGGAGAGAAGGGGAGUGAGGGACAGAGGGAAAGUGCCCACAUCAUCCCCCUCCGUCAUUACAGCCCACACCACCCACAGAAACUAAAGAGCGCAUUCACACAGAGAACACACACACACACACAUGGCAGCAUAUGAAAGAGGUAGCCUCCACAUCAGUGUGUCAGAGAGGCUUAUCCAUAAUGGGCAAGGCAGGCUGCAGCAGUGAAUCAAGCACUUAUUCAGAGAAGCCCUCCUGUAUAAUACAGUGCUCACAAUUAGAGUAGACAUUCACAGAAAAUGGUUAAAAGCUGCAAAUUAUCAUGUUUCGGUCGACACACGACUGGCGCUUUCUCGCGGUCACAGCUUGAUACAUUUUACAAUUUGGAUUUCACAUGUUGAAUAGAGAAGGCUUUUGAUCUGGGGAGUCAGAUAUUUGCCAUUGUGUGAGGCGUCGGGAGGAGACUGCUGUUGUAUUAGUGACAAACCUGUAUGAAAAAGCCUGUGCUGCGGAGUGAACAUGUAGUUUUCCCCAACAUGUAACCUGCCCACAGUGACGCAACUGUCCUCCGCACAGACACACAAGCUUUGCCGUGCAAUUACCAAAUUAGUCGAGAAAUUAAUUUCAACCCAGUGAACUGACACAGAAACGCACUGAACGGCUAAUCUGGG
ensembl:lncRNA